CAGGGUAANCCUGARAACCCDAAAUGUCGAAUGGGAAAUUUCAUUCGCGUUUMGACUUUGUCGGCGUURAGCGGUUGAGUGACGRACGGCGCGCAUUCGCGCGUCUUUCGCACCUUCCGUUUUUCRAACCGGCGUCGAACGCGUGCACUUUUCCCCUAGUAGGACGUCGCGAUCCGUUGGGUGUCGGUCUAAGACUUGCGGUGGAGCACGCUCGAACGUUUCGGCGUUCGUACGUACCCGUAAUGUUCCGGCCGACUCGCUCGACGGUAUAACGAUGGCGUGGGGCCGCUACUUACAUCAUUAGUUAGCGUUCGACUCUCGGCAAGCGCGCUCGGUGUUUCGACGGCGAUCGGACCUAGUKCCGAUUCUGUCCCCGAGCGACUGUUGGCUGAGGUGUUCUCGAACAGACCUCUUUGAAACGSCGAUCUGCGACGACUAUAGC
rnacentral:rRNA from 1 species